GAUGAAGAACGUAGCGAAAUGCGAUAAGUAAUGUGAAUUGCAGAAUUCAGUGAAUCAUCGAAUCUUUGAACGCACAUUGCGCCCAUUAGUAUUCUAGUGGGCAUGCCUGUUCGAGCGUCAUUAAGUCCACUUAAGCCUAGCUUAGUGUUGGGAGACUGCUCCAGUGGUGCUACCCUGUAGCUACCCUGCAGCUCCUUAAAGACAGCGGCGGAGUCGUGUUAUCCUCUGAGCUUAGUAAAUCAUUCUAGCUUUCGAGAGUAUCACUUCACCUGCCGUUAAACCACUUAAUUUUUAUGGUUGACCUCGGAUCAGGUAGGAAUACCCGCUGAACUUAAGCAUAUCAAUAAGCGGAGGA
rnacentral:misc_RNA from 1 species